UACGGGGGGAGCAAGCGUUGUUCGGAUUUACUGGGCGUAAAGGGCGCGUAGGCGGCCACCGCAAGUCAGUUGUGAAAUCUCCGGGCUUAACUCGGAAAGGUCAACUGAUACUGCGGGGCUAGAGUGCGGAAGGGGCAACUGGAAUUCUCGGUGUAGCGGUGAAAUGCGUAGAUAUCGAGAGGAACACCUGCGGCGAAGGCGGGUUGCUGGGCCGACACUGACGCUGAUGCGCGAAAGCUAGGGGAGCGAACGGG
rnacentral:rRNA from 1 species